UAAAAAUGAAACUGCAAAAAUGUUUUUUAUAUAUAUUUUUCUCUCAAUUAGCUAAUGUCUAAUAGAUUUUCUGUUGCAGAAAUAAGCUUCCAUAAAUCAUAUGGGAUACAAAAAAUAGAAAAAAUACUAGUCACCUUCUAGUAGUUAAAAAGGUGUAGCUGCAGGUGGUUAGUUUUAAGGAAUAAGACAGCUCGUCAUGCACGCUGUCCUAUUUGUGUGAGCAGCAGGUAACCUUGUGUUUAUGCCGGAGCUCAGCUUGUGAACCGCUCCGGGUCCAUUUUAAAAGGACAAUGUGGCGAUGAGGAGGAGGUGCGCGACUAAAAUCAGAGCACAUUUGCCUGGGAGGUGUGUUUGACCGCGUACGCAUGGAGGCUGGAAGAGGGAGGAGGUGAUUUGUUGCAAUUUGGGGACAUUUGUGAGCUGCCUCCCAACUGCAGACCUGUAAGAAGGAAAAAAUACAAGCAUAUGAAAUAUCAGAGAAGUCAUGCAAUCUCACUGUGCCUUAUGGGUAACUCAGCAUCCAUAAAUUAAUGAGAAAAGAUUUUAUUUUUCAUUAGAGAAGAUUUAAGCUGUCGGGAGGGACCAGAUACGCCAGCCCAUUGCAAUCGUAGAAAUUUCAUUAAAAUAGAUUUUAGAUUUUGAUACAGAUCUAAACUGAGUAAUAUAAUUGUCUUAGGUUUAGAUAUAACGGAAAUUAUUUACCUUUUUUUCUGUAUGCAAGGCCAUUUCUGAGCAGUGAGACGCUGCAAUACUUCUGUCUACCUAUAGGUGGAAGCAAAGUGUUUAUAAUAUCAUUAAAACACCAAACAUAGUGUUGUUUUGUUCUAAAUAAAUACAUAGAUACAUAUAAAUAAACAAAAACAAUCGAACUUUUAUUUAUUAAUUAUCAUGGCCCAGUUUUACUUUCCAUAGAAGACUAUACCUGUUUAUAAAUAAAUAAGGUGUACACUGUAAAAAAAAAAAAAAAAAUCCGUAACUACUUCCGUUUUCAGUUGAAGGAUUUUUCCGUAUUUUAGUUCACAGGUGCUUUUCGGUUAUAUUUAAUGACGCAUUGCAUUGUGGGUGAGAAGCAAACGCCAUUAAUAAACAGAUUACUUCAUUCAGUUUCCGGAGAAGGAUCAGUUUAACGCCUCUGAGACUAAUAUAUUGAAACUUGUGGCGCGAGUCGCGUGCGGGAGAAGCAGACGCCAUCGACACGCUUGAUUACUUCACCCGGAGAAGGAUAACGCAGAAUUUUCCUGGGAGUAAAUCCUGGUCAAAGGCUGAACGGAACAAAACAUCAAAAUCCUUAAAGACUGCCGAAAUUCCUUUUGAAAAUCCAUGGAAGGUAUAGGCUUUUUUUUUUUUUUUUUUUUUUUUUUUUCCCAAAAAUGAGCUUGAACUGGAUUGCUUCUCUUAAAUGCAAAGCAACAAUUGUUAAAAGUAACACUUCCUGCACAUUUAUUUUUUUUCUUUUUUUGACUUGCGGAGCUCAACUUUGACAGUGCAGCACUAAUAUUGUACACACAAAUGCGGUUUAAAAACAAACAAAAAAACCUUUAGCGUUUUCUGCACAUUGUUCAAUAAAAUACAAGCACCAAGCCUUGAAUGCUAGUAUGUCUGUAGGUAUGUUUAUUCAGCUGCAGCCCUGUUUUUAUUCCUGCUUUUUUUUUUUUUUUUUUUUUUUUAUGGCGCUCAGUGUUUUGACAGUGCAUCACUGUUGUACACAAUGCUGUUUAAAACAAAACAUUGUUUUAAUGUUGCUUGUGUGCAUGCAUAGUCGGUGUUCUAAAUUUUUGCAGUUACAUAUGAAAAUAAAAGCACA